rnacentral:rRNA from 1 species
CAUUAUCGAAUAAACUUGAACAGGCUGUUGCUGGCCCUUCAUAUGGGGGGGUAUGUGCACGCUUGUCUCAUCUUUGUUAUUUCUCCAACUGUGCACCUUUUGUAGACCCUGGAGCUUCUUGGAUUUUCAUUCGAGUUGGGACUGCUGUGCUUCUUCGAGUCAGCUUUGCCUUUGCAUCUCCAGGUCUAUGUCAUUUUUCACAACCUCUCGAAUGUGUUUAGAAUGUUGAAUCAGGUCCUUUUGUACCUAUAAAAAUGAAAUAUACAACUUUCAGCAACGGAUCUCUUGGCUCUCGCAUCGAUGAAGAACGCAGCGAAAUGCGAUAAGUAAUGUGAAUUGCAGAAUUCAGUGAAUCAUCGAAUCUUUGAACGCAUCUUGCGCUCCUUGGUAUUCCGAGGAGCAUGCCUGUUUGAGUGUCAUUUAACUUUCUCAACCACUUCAAAUAUUCUGAUGUGGCUUGGAUGUGGGGGUUUUGUUUUUGCAGGCCUUUCUGUGAAAGAAGGUCGGCUCCCCUGAAAUGUAUUAGUGGUAUCUGAGCUACUACUUAUAGGUGUGAUAAUUAUCUAUGCCUUUGGUAUGCUGCAUGAACAGAUUGUACUGCUUCCAACAAGUUCUUUGAUGAAUUUG